CUGCAUGUGCUGUAGUGAGAUUUGGGGCGCGCGGAGGAAUCAUCAUGAACAGAGAGGUGUGCUGGCAUGAGGCUCCCGUGUCUCUCCAUAUCGCUGUCGAAGCUGCGCACUCGACCGGAUCUAUCCGUGACGACCAGCACAGCUCUAGCAGCACUGCGGGGCGGCAUCGUCACCGGUUGACCUCGUCGCUACCAUUCGAUGCCACAUCGGCGCAGCAAAUCCUCUUCUUUGCCGCCGAAGGUGCGUUCGUGCACGCGGCACCGCUCCACAUCACCGUCGCAGAGGCGAAAUCGACGCAUUCGGGAACAUCGAAGGCGGCAAUGGUCAACGUCGUCGCCGGGGCUGUGGAGACCACCACAGAAGAAUCUAUCAUGGCGACAGAGGGGCCAAGCGCCGCCGCUAGUUUUGCGCUGCCUCCGGCGUUAUCUGCAGACACGACUAAGGGUGUGGCUGCCGAAAUGACUAUAGCGGAGGCGACAGGGAAAGAUGAGGAAUGGACAGACGCCGUGGACGAGGAAGCCAUGGCCUUCUUCAAUGAUGAGUAAGUUCCAUGAAGGAAAAUAAGUGAAAAGGAAAGAGAAGCUGGAAGGAAGCAAUGCAUGUGUGUGUGUGUGUGUGUCUGUAUCUGUGGCUGCUUGGUGCACCUGUAUAUUACGAUCAUCUCUGCAGAAGAGAACCGAAAGAAGCGUUCCACCUAUCCCCCUCCCCGCCGUCACCAAAACGAAAAGACGCACGAGGGGCGAGAAGCUGCUCACGGCCCAAGCUCUCUUCUUGUGUUCAGCGCAGAGGGGGGGUUGUACGAUCGACUAGCACGUCUCCAG
rnacentral:misc_RNA from 1 species